rnacentral:misc_RNA from 1 species
AUAUAAAUACAAACAACUAAAUAAGCUCAUUAUUCAUUACACUUCAACAAGUUUCUCAUUUCUCUUUUCUCUUUCUUCUAUUUGUCUUUCAUUCCUUUGAAUAUUCUCUUCUAUUUAGAGACGGAAUAAUAACAAUCUUACAAAAAGUAAGAAAACAGUUCUUUAUCUGAUACUUUGUAAGAUACACCAGCAAAAGCAGAUCUCUAAUUAUCAGCAUAUUUAAAGAUGAAGAAAGUAAUUCUGAAAUUGGAGUAUUUCGACGAGAAAAUCAAGCAGAAAGCCAUGAAGAAAGUGUCUGGUCUUGAAGGAGUGGAAUCAAUUUCAAUAGAUUCAAAAGAGAAGAAAUUAACAAUUACAGGGAACAUAGAUCCAGUUUCACUGGUUUCAAAAUUGAGGAAGCUCUGUCACACUGAUAUCGUCUCAGUUGGACCAGCAAAAGAGCCUGAGAAAAAGAAGGACGACGGUGCCAAAAAAGAUGAAGGGGCUAAAAAGGAUGACGGCAAAAAAGAUGAUGGGGCUAAAAAAGGGGAUGAUAAAAAAGGAGGAGCCGAUAAGACGAAAGAAGAAGCUCUUCCAGUAAUGAAAGCUUUUCCAGCUCCUAUAUUUUAUCACUAUAAUCAGCAUCCUUAUCAACAUUAUCAAACCCCUGUUCCUGCUUAUUAUCACCAACGAAGCGUUGAAGAAGAUCCAAAUUCUUGUGUCAUCUGUUGAACUGAUAUUCAUGAUGAAUUUGAUUCAUAUCAUGUUAUCACUGUUACUCUCUAAUAUAUAUUCCCUGCGAGUUUUGUGACUUUUUAAGAAGAAAAAAAAUAGCUUUGUACAAAUUUAUGUUUUCUUUUCCCCAUGAUCACAUUUUUGUUCCAUGUUUAUUACAACAUCUCUUUAUUGAUCUAUAUAUUUGAACAGUGAACGGUGAUUUAAAGGUCAUCUAUUUCGAG